UUUUUUUUUUUUUUUUUUUUUUAAAUCUAAAUUCAAUACGCUAAAAAUGAAUUAUCCUGCGAACUUAGAGAACAAGAUAAGCGCAACUUUUUAAUGUUUUGGUUUUAACAUUCGUAAAA
rnacentral:ribozyme from 12 species